rnacentral:rRNA from 1 species
GACGUAGGGUGCAAGCGUUGUCCGGAUUUAUUGGGCGUAAAGGGCUCGUAGGCGGUUUGUCGCGUCGGGAGUGAAAACCUUGGGCUUAACUCAGGGCUUGCUUUCGAUACGGGCAGACUAGAGGUAUGCAGGGGAGAACGGAAUUCCUGGUGUAGCGGUGAAAUGCGCAGAUAUCAGGAGGAACACCGGUGGCGAAGGCGGUUCUCUGGGCAUGAUCUGACGCUGAGGAGCGAAAGUGUGGGGAGCGAACAGG